GAUGAACGCUAGCUACAGGCUUAACACAUGCAAGUCGAGGGGCAGCAUGGUCUUAGCUUGCUAAGGCCGAUGGCGACCGGCGCACGGGUGAGUAACACGUAUCCAACCUGCCGUCUACUCUUGGACAGCCUUCUGAAAGGAAGAUUAAUACAAGAUGGCAUCAUGAGUCCGCAUGUUCACAUGAUUAAAGGUAUUCCGGUAGACGAUGGGGAUGCGUUCCAUUAGAUAGUAGGCGGGGUAACGGCCCACCUAGUCUUCGAUGGAUAGGGGUUCUGAGAGGAAGGUCCCCCACAUUGGAACUGAGACACGGUCCAAACUCCUACGGGAGGCAGCAGUGAGGAAUAUUGGUCAAUGGGCGAGAGCCUGAACCAGCCAAGUAGCGUGAAGGAUGACUGCCCUAUGGGUUGUAAACUUCUUUUAUAAAGGAAUAAAGUCGGGUAUGGAUACCCGUUUGCAUGUACUUUAUGAAUAAGGAUCGGCUAACUCCGUGCCAGCAGCCGCGGUAAUACGGAGGAUCCGAGCGUUAUCCGGAUUUAUUGGGUUUAAAGGGAGCGUAGAUGGAUGUUUAAGUCAGUUGUGAAAGUUUGCGGCUCAACCGUAAAAUUGCAGUUGAUACUGGAUAUCUUGAGUGCAGUUGAGGCAGGCGGAAUUCGUGGUGUAGCGGUGAAAUGCUUAGAUAUCACGAAGAACUCCGAUUGCGAAGGCAGCCUGCUAAGCUGCAACUGACAUUGAGGCUCGAAAGUGUGGGUAUCAAACAGGAUUAGAUACCCUGGAAGUCCACACGGUAAACGAUGAAUACUCGCUGUUUGCGAUAUACUGCAAGCGGCCAAGCGAAAGCGUUAAGUAUUCCACCUGGGGAGUACGCCGGCAACGGUGAAACUCAAAGGAAUUGACGGGGGCCCGCACAAGCGGAGGAACAUGUGGUUUAAUUCGAUGAUACGCGAGGAACCUUACCCGGGCUUAAAUUGCAGAUGAAUUACGGUGAAAGCCGUAAGCCGCAGGGCAUCUGUGAAGGUGCUGCAUGGUUGUCGUCAGCUCGUGCCGUGAGGUGUCGGCUUAAGUGCCAUAACGAGCGCAACCCUUGUUGUCAGUUACUAACAGGUUCCGCUGAGGACUCUGACAAGACUGCCAUCGUAAGAUGUGAGGAAGGUGGGGAUGACGUCAAAUCAGCACGGCCCUUACGUCCGGGGCUACACACGUGUUACAAUGGGGGGUACAGAGGGCCGCUACCACGCGAGUGGAUGCCAAUCCCCAAAACCUCUCUCAGUUCGGACUGGAGUCUGCAACCCGACUCCACGAAGCUGGAUUCGCUAGUAAUCGCGCAUCAGCCACGGCGCGGUGAAUACGUUCCCGGGCCUUGUACACACCGCCCGUCAAGCCAUGGGAGCCGGGGGUACCUGAAGUGCGUAACCGCGAGGAGCGCCCUAGGGUAAAACU
rnacentral:rRNA from 1 species